UCCAAUAAACACAGCUGCCGUCUAGGCCU
rnacentral:sRNA from 1 species